rnacentral:rRNA from 1 species
AGCAGUCGCCACGGUAAUACGAAGGGUGCAAGCGUUACUCGGAAUUACUGGGCGUAAAGCGUGCGUAGGUGGUGGUUUAAGUCCGUUGUGAAAGCCCUGGGCUCAACCUGGGAAUUGCAGUGGAUACUGGGUCACUAGAGUGUGGUAGAGGAUAGUGGAAUUUCCGGUGUAGCAGUGAAAUGCGUAGAGAUCGGAAAGAACACCAACGGCGAAAGCACUCUGCUGGGCCGACACUGACACUGAGAGACGAAAGCUAGGGGAGCAAAUGGGAUUAGAUACCCGGGUAGUCCCUGUCUCUUAUAC